rnacentral:lncRNA from 1 species
GGCGACUGAGGAAGGCAGCAGUGUUCUGAUGUGAUGCUCAGGCUUCUCAAUGACAUGAACAGGCUGAGGAGGCUGCUCCUGUGGGAAGCAAAAGGUGAAAAAAAGAGAAAGUGAAAGGAAGUGAAAAUGGACUCUUUUCCAGAUUAGGUGAAACAGAACAUGACAAUUGAAAUGAAUGAGGUGGGUAAAAUCAUGCUGGAUGGAAUGCAAAUGAAAUUAAAGGAAAAUUGAAUUCAAGGAGAUAGGGGGCAUGAAGCAGAUUUAUGUCAAAUGAAAAAUAUAGACAAAAAUGUAAAGGGGACGAACUGGUAUAAUAAGGCAGUGAUUGAAAAUGGAGCAAUGUAAAAGGAUGUGAAAGGGAACAAUGAGAAAGUGCAAAUGAAGACCAAGAGCUAGGCAAAGAAAUAUGAAGAAACUGAUGUCUUAUGGUACUAAAGUGGAUAAUUUCAAUCAUAAUGUAAAAAAAUAUUCAGACGCAUACUACUACUGAAGGAAAAUAUAAAAUGAACGUUGCAAUAAAAGAGAUGUUGAGAAAAGUGACAUUCUAACUAGUCUCUUUAGAAAGAGAGAGAGGGACAAAUGUAAAGAAAUUAAGCAGAUCUAUAAUCUCCAUUACCAUAGUUAAGUUGUGAUAAGCUUACAUUUGUCUGUUAUUUUGUCAAUCUUUAUUACUAACCAGGAUAUGUAAAAUUUUAAAAUAAAGAACACUAUAAAAUUAAGAACAGCAUAUCAUAUUGCUGAUCAUUUGACAUCAUAUUGAUGUGUCUCUCAGCUUUCAGUUAUGUGAAAUGAAUUUUGUAAUCCCAGUGUAUCCAGUCAUGGGUGGAUUCCAAAUCCUGUCCUUUCUGUGUGACUGUGACUACUCGACAAACAUGGUAAAUCCUGUCUCUAUCAGACCUAAGAGUGAAAUAGAAGAAGGGAAAGAGAGUGAAUUUAAGCUUCUGUAGCAGAGCUGUAAAUUGGAUGAACCUUGGAAAACGUAGCCAAACUGUGUCUAAGGCUAGCAGUUCUUCUUUAGCAUUUUUUUUCUAUUCAAAGCUCUGAGAAUUGAUAAUGCUACUCACUAAAACUCCGGCAAAAAUUCACGCGUCUAUCUUCUAUCACUAGGAAAAUUCCUGUGAAAAGGGAAUGAAAAUAUGUUUGACACAAAAUGGAGGAUCUAGUCUCAUUAGUAAAAGAAAUCAUGAAAUAGAAUAUGCUGUUAUAACGAUUUUUUUUUUCCUGUCAAGGCAAAGGGUUGGCAAGGCAAACUUACAUUUUAGUGUUAUGAAAGUGACAGGUGAGUAUAUUUCCAAGCAUAUUACCUGUGAAUCUUAUAACCAAUGACUUUCUUUUAAACCCUGGAAAAUUACUAAAGUUCUAAUGCAGUUUUAUAUUCCUGAAGAUGUUUGUGACUCAUAAAAUACUGUAUCCAUUACAAUAAACACACAGAAGUGAUGCACUUAAUUAAUUAAUUGAUUUUACUUUGUCAUAUUUUCCAUAUAUUUGCUAUAGAAAAAUAACAUUCAGUUUGGAAUCCUUUAAUAUUAGAGCAAAACAUCAGAAAGUUCCAAGAUGUAUGUGCAUUUCCAAGGAGAGAAUGCAGUAUUUACAUGCCUGCCAGUAACAGCAGCCACCUUGAAUACCUUCUACUUUUGCUUUCUGGAGACAGGGAGAUAAAAAUUCUUUACAUUCUAAGCAGCACUGCAAAAACAGACAAAUCAAUCACAUUCAUCAGCCGCACAUUUAUAAAUAAAAUGCAGACAAAUAUCCUGCUAUAAAAAUGGUAAAAGAAUGAUGAGGAAAUAAGGCUUUCUAAGCUACUUAACAACAUUCUUAUGAUUAAAAUCCAUAAUCUGUCAAAUUCAC